rnacentral:rRNA from 1 species
UACAGAGGUCCCAAGCGUUGUUCGGAUUCAUUGGGCGUAAAGGGUGUGUAGGUGGCGCCGUAAGUCGGGUGUGAAAUCUCGGGGCUUAACUCCGAAACUGCAUUCGAUACUGCGGUGCUUGAGGACUGGAGAGGAGACUGGAAUUCAUGGUGUAGCAGUGAAAUGCGUAGAGAUCAUGAGGAAGACCAGUGGCGAAGGCGGGUCUCUGGACGACUCCUGACACUGAGGCACGAAAGCUAGGGGAGCAAACAGG